rnacentral:rRNA from 1 species
GUAGGUGGCAAGCGUUGUCCGGAAUUAUUGGGCGUAAAGCGCGCGCAGGCGGUCCUUUAAAGUCUGAUGUGAAAGCCCACGGGCUCAACCGUGGAGGGUCAUUGGAAACUGGGGGACUUGAGCACAGAAGAGGAAAGCGGAAUUCCAAGUGUAGCGGUGAAAUGCGUAGAGAUUUGGAGGAACACCAGUGGCGAAGGCGGCUUUCUGGUCUGUAACUGACGCUGAGGCGCGAAAGCGAGGGGAGCAAACAGGAUUAGAUACCCUGGUAGUCCACGCCGUAAACGAUGAGUGCUAAGUGUUAGGGGUUUCCGCCCCUUAGUGCUGCAGCUAACGCAUUAAGCACUCCGCCUGGGGAGUACGGCCGCAAAGGCUG